CAAAAGGAACUUACAAGGAUUUAAGGCAUUUUAUCUGCCAAUUACUAGAUGUUGCCGAAGCGUCAUUAUUCUUUUCCUCAGGUUAAUAAAUAUCUAAAAAGUUAAUUGUUUUCAAAACGGGCUUCGCUGAGGAAAACUAAAUAUUAUAACCAUGUCAUAUUAUAGUCAUGUUUUUGAGAAAAAUGUAUUUCAAACCAGUGAACAAGGCUGAUCAAUAAAGCCGAAAUAUUUGGUUAUAAUAUUUAGUUUUCCUCUGCCAAUUACUGUUAAGUUAAUGAUCUAAUAUUUCCCCUUAGAAGCGUCGCUCAGAUGAACCGAAAUGCAGGUAACCUGCCAAAGGCAACAACAGAGGAGGAGAGGCAGAGGAAUAUCCGUGCUGGCUCUCAGAUGAGUCAGAUUAACAACCCUUGCUUACUGGAACAGAAGAAAGUUCAGAAAUGUAUGGAUGCAAGCGGCUAUGAUAAAAGCAAAUGCGAGCUGCACAUGAAUAACUACAAUGCAUGCAAGCGGUUUUGGGGUGAGGUGCGGAAACGGCGGAGACAGGCAGGAAUCGAGCCGGAUCUGCCCGAACCGAGCGAAAGGGAAGCUAUCAAAAAGGAGUUCCUGGCAAAACGAGUGUUGAUAGACAAUUGAUGGCGCAAUUUUCUGUGCAAUGCUCGUGAUAUUGGUCGUCUGUUGAUCAGGUCAGAAUGUGUCGAGAUGCUGUUCUGUGAUGAUGUUACUGUCGUUAGUGGUAAAAUAUACACAUAACUAGGACAAUGAA